GAGGAACCAGGCUUCAUCUUCAUUUGGUUGGAGAGUGAUGCAUUCUACUGAUUGACAGAAGCAACAAGCAUGAAUAAGGAAGUUCCAAUAGAACAAAAGAGAAAGGAAGAAGAAAAAGUAAUAUUAUAAUGGCAGUAGCCAAAUCUUCUCUGUCCUGCCACGGAUCAUGCCAGACAAGGGUGGACCUGGGAUCCGAGUAUAUAAGCCACCCGUCUCAGAGGACUAGGGUAUCACCAGAGAAGACAUUCAGGAGAGCAGACGACAACACCAUCCAGUGAACACAGCAAGCUACCAUGGUGUGUGAGUGUGCUGUCAAUGCACUGAACGCCGUGUUUAACCUUUUGAGGAGCAUCCUCAAAGCAACAAAAGACAUGAUCGAGCACCCUUUUGAGGCACCCAAACCAGAUAAGAAUGACUAACAUGGGAAGGAACAGUGCAUUCUUGGAUGAUCCAAAAACCAACCUGGCCAUUUCCAUAUUGACAAAGACAUCCAUAAUAUGAGUACACAACAUCCUAAAGGAGAAUAAAACUUAUUUGGAACUUUUGAA